GGAGCUCCCUCUGGCUUCCAGGAAGCAGCCUCAGCCAAGGGGCCUCUCGGGAGAGGAGGGGGUGAGGUGUGUGUGCGCGUGUGUGCAGGGAGACAGAAGGUGUGCGCGCUGGGGAGAGACAGAAACCCAGUAUGACACAAACAGAGAAAAAUUUAUGUGAGAGAGAAAAGGAGACCAUUAGUCUAGGUUUUCCUUCUCCUCCGCCUCUGAUCUCCGUAUUCCCAGUGACUGUCAUAGAAACUGCUUGAUAGUAACAGCUUAGGACGUGUUUACUGAACAAAUAAAUAAAUGAGAGUCUGACAUUCUGCUACUUCGAGGUAUAGUAGGCCCAGCAGGAAGCACGUUAGCGGCUCAGGAACCCCUUGCCACGUCUUCCCUCCAGGGUCUGACCUCGGUGGCUUACACACCUGGGCGAUGGAUCCAAGAAGGCCCAGGCUCCGCUUGGGGUUACAGGCCAGGUGUGCACCUGGCAUCCUUGGGAGCAGGGAGCGCGGGGUCCCCCACACCCGAGCACAGGGCGUGAAAGGCAGGGAGUGGCUUGUGGCAACUCUGCCCCUGCCCAGCCAAGAUCCAGCCCAGGACUGGUGGGCUCACCACUCAGAUCAGCAUCUCCCCAGGAAGCCCCCUCCCCAGCUCACCUCUAAGUGGGGGAGGAGAGGUGCCCCAUUAUCCACGAUCGGGUGGGGAAGGGAGAGGAGGGGAGAAGCUCCUUCUCCUUCAACUUCAUCUUUUGAAACCCAAGUACCCCUCCUUCCAUCUGGACCACGGCUAUUUUAGGAGAAAUGAAUCCAAUUAGAUGAGUGUCUGCUGAUCACCUGGUUGAUAGAAGAAUGAUAACCAAUGGUUUUUUACAGUUGAGAAGUCACUGUCUCUUCCAAGAUCAUAUAGGGGUGUUCCAUCAACCCCGUGGAGGAGAUACCUCAUUCCUGACUUACAUAUGGGGAGACGAGGAGACUUGCUUAGGAUCACAUGGUGUGGAGCUGGGGGUCAGGUCUGGCCAGACUCCCAGCCCAACCAAGAGCUGAGCUCUUGGGCUGAGAGGAGGAAGAGGGGCCAGGAGGCUGAGGGCGGGAUCAGGACGGAGUUUGGGGUUGAGGACAGCCACAGCCAGCACGAGCAAAGUCUGGUUCUUGCUAUUUUAUGUGUCUCCAGAAAAAGACACAUGUAGGUUUACAUACAAUUUCAGGGGGCUCAGAGUUGCUCACCCAGGGACAGAGAGGGGACCCAGAAAGGAAGAGAAGACAGUACUGAAGACAGUGGGUAGCUCAGCUCUUCCUGUCCUCCAAGUGGAAUUCUUGACUCAGGGUGAAAGCAAUUUCUGAGAAAAUGGGAUUUUUCCUCCCAAGCCCAACACAAAACAUGAGGGAUUCAGGAAUACCCUGCUCUGUUAACACUUUGUUCUUAGCACCUAUACUGUGCCAUGCAGUCGUUGACAAUGACGUUCCCAACAGAUGUCCCAGCGACGGCUAAAUCACACCAGCAACCAACAGUGCCGUAAAAGAGACAUAUUCCUGCUUGCACUGUUCCACUGUGCUGCCUUUGAGGCUGCAUCCUGGGCAGUUGCUGGAGAAGCAGUUGAUGCCCUCGCAGUGACGGAACGGCCCUGACCUGCACCUGGCCGUAAUCUUGGGUAAGGGAGCCCUUCAUUGCCGGGUAGGAACUUGGCACGGCAACCUGCCUAAGACCCCCCAGGGUUCAAAUGGAGGCCCAUAUCACACUAGAGCCACCAUUCUUUCAGAUAAGCCAUGUCCUUUACUGGUAGAAAUAGCAAAAUGAACAGCACACGGCAGAGAAAACGGGAUACGGGCAUUAAUUAAUUGCAACAAAAGUGGAAAUCAUUGGAAAAAGGACCAGCUGUGCUUUUUACCCCUUGCUAGGAAGAGAGAUCCAGGGCAGGGCUGAGGCAGAUGCCCAGAUCCUGGGCGAGCGCCAGACUCUGAGGCCGGCACCUGUCCCAUCCUGGAGCAAAGGCUCCUUGCUCAGUCGCCCAUCUUGGGUCUGUCUUUUCACUUCCUUCUUCUGGGCCCAGCUUCGGUCAGGGAAGCCAUGUGGCCUGGGAGAGGGAACACGUGGCCUUUGAGAGCCCACUCUGUGCUGGGGCGCUGUGGCCCACUCUGGUCCACACAACAGUUCUGUGCACUCAGUGUUGUCACAUCUGUCCCACAGGUGGGGAAGCGGAAUAUGCAAAAUGAGAGGCAGCAGGGCUCAUAGUUAGAGGUGUGGCCUCUGGCCUGAGAGGCUGGUAUCCUGACUUUCUACUCACUAGGCUAGAGGCAAGGAAACUUAGCUUCUCUGAAGCACGAUGUUCUUUCUACAUGCAAGGAUAACAGGGGUGUCUCUGUGAUGGGGCUUUUGUGAAGAUGUACGGGUGAUGCUUGCAAAACUUUUAGCACAGUGCACGGCACUCAGUAAGGGCUUAUCCCAUGCCAGCGAUGGCCGCUGUUAAGAGGAAGGGCUGGGAUUUAACCCCAGCUCAGCCUGACCCUCUCCACACCGUCAGAGCACCAUGUGCUAAAUCCCCACUCUGUGGUUUGUUUACAAGCUGCAUGAUCUUAGACAGGUGACUUUCCUUGGACCUCUUAGAGCUCAACCCAGUCCCAGGGGCUGGAUGAGAAGUCCCAUAUCAUCUCUCUUUCUCUGCUCUCUCCUCAGACCAAGCCCCCAGUCUAACAUCUCCUUUACUGUCCUACAAAAUAAAAGUAUCUGGGCAUUAUCAAUGGAUAUCAAAAAUAUCAGAGAACGUGGGUGAGAGUAUCACUUACCCUAAUAGUGCCUGGAUUCAGGGUUCAGCAAUUCCCAAAUGCCAUGCUGCAUCCUUACCAAGAUGCUGUGAAGUAGAUACUAUUAACCUACUUUGCAGAUGAAGGCGCUGAGGCUCAGAGAGGAGAAUUUGGGUCAAGGAUAUUCAACUAGUAAGUGGCUGAGCUGGGGUUCAGAUGCAGGGCUAUUUGAUACCACCCUGCUUCCUGAAGCUGAAGGGAUGACUCUUUGACAGUGUCAGGGUGGGCUGUGAGUGGGUGGCAGGGGUCCCUGGGUCCCUUCGCCUCCAGGCACACAGGCAUUAGCUGAUGCUUCCAAGCCUGCUUUGCAAGCUCAUCUGACGCGCCCAUCCCAACCUCAGCUUUAAUUAUGUCUGCUCUUGAGAAAGCCAAGCAAUUCAGCCUUCCCAGAAACCCAGGAUCCCUGAGUCUUCCAGUGCAUUUCAACAUGCAGGAGGCCUGAGGAAAGGUGGCCUCUCCAUUCUUGCUUCUCAUGAUGAAGUGGCUUUCAUCUGGGUGUGCAGGAGAACUUCCUCCCGUCCUGUGUUUCCACUCCUUCUUUCUUUCUUAUUAUUUUCCAGGAUCUUUAAUGCAAAAUGCCCAAGAUAACACAACUCCCAUCAUUUUCUUCCCUGCCCUUUGUAUCUUUGAAUCUUCAAAUCACAUGCCACGCCAGCCAGUUUAGCAUAAGAAAUGAAAUUAAUUUUCAUGCUUCAGAUGUAAAUGCCUUUAUUAAUAAUUUAAAGCACAUUUAUUUAUGCAGUUUGAUAUGUUUCAUGUUCAGGGAAGCAAUUAAGUUUUGCCCAAGUUGCUGAUCAGCAGACAGUGUCUUCCGUGCCUUCUGCCCAUCCAGCGAGGCUGCGAGAGAGAGUCAAGUGGGCAGGCCUCACCCCUCUGGUCUGCACACUGCCUCUGUGAGAUUCGGGCUUUUGAAAUGAGGAGAGCACAUUUAUUUGCUGGGGCCCAUCUCAAGAAAGGCCAAUUUCUUUCUCAGAAUUGCCCUGGGUUAUUAAACUUGACCUUCAAAACUCCCGGUCACUAAAAGUUCCUCCCCUCAACUAGUUCCUGGAGAGGCCGUCAUCCUCUAAAAGCCACUUUUAACUUUUACCCCAGGAAGCAAUUUUUCAUCUUAUUAAGGACUUGGCUGCUUGAGAGUGAGAAGAGCUGGCUUGGCCACUUAGGAACUGAUGAGAGUGGACAACCUGCUCCACUGUGUUCACCUGUUUCCUUAUCUGAAAAAUGAGGAAAUGAUGUUUACCUUAAUAAGGAUACUGUGAAAAUUGAGUAGCAAGAUAGCGCACACGAAAGCACUUAGCUGGUCUACUCACCUUCUCCUUUCAAUAGCCUCGCCUUCCCUCCCCAGGCCUGCGCCCCUCACCCCCACCACCCAGCCUGAGAUUCCCUUACUUCUCAUCUUCACAUCUCAACCCCACUCCAUGCUUUGUAAUAAAAGUACCUUGCAUUCACUUAUGCUUCCUACUCUCCAAAGAGCUUUUGCAUACCUGAUAUCAUUUUAUCGUCAGUAAGAAUGCUUUAAACAGACGUGGAAUCUGAGUCCACUGGAGGUGUAACUUCCCAGAGACAGAUGAGAAUUCAGAAAUGUUCUCGAGACCCCUGGCUAACCAUCUAAGCCCUGUGCACCAUGGACUGUGUGAGAUGCUGUGAGAUGGGCGUCGGACACACCGUGAUGACCCAGGUCUGUCUCUAGGAUCUCACUAGGAGGACGAAGAGAAAGCCGUGCCCCCCCCCCCCCGCCCCCACUCGGACCCUGCUCUGCUCAGCGUGUGCUGCGUGUUCAGAAACUGACCAGGACAGAAAGAGGAAAACAAAUAUUGUAUGCUAACUCAUAUAUAUGGAAUCUGGAGAAAUGGUACUGAUGAAACCAGUGACAGGCAAGAGUGGAGAUGCAGAUUCAGAGAAUGGACUUGAGGACAUGGGGCUGGGGUCAGGGGUGGGGGGCGAAGGGGAAGCUGGGACGAAGUGAGAGAGUAGCAUAGACAUAUACACACUACCAACUGUAAAUAGCUAGUGGGAAGUUAGCUAGUGGGAAGUUGCUGUAUAACAAAGGGAGAUCAACUUCAUGAUGGGUGAUGCUUUAGAGGGCCAGGACAGGGAGGGCAGGAGGGAGUCGCAGGAGGGAGGGGAUAUGGGGAUAUAUGUAUAAAUACAGCUGAUUCACUUUGGUGUGCCUCAAAAACUGGUACAAGAGUGUAAAGCAAUUAUGGUCCAAUAAAGAGCUUAAAAA